UUAACACAAACAACAAUGGCAGUCACACAUGCUGACCUUGAACCAAAGAGAAGAAAAACAGAUUUGAGUAGCAAAACAGGUGCCUUUCUCAUGGCUCUCACAAUCCUAUUGGGCCUAUUCUGCUUCGUUCUGUGUCUCAUAGCAGAAGCCACACGUUCGAAGGUGAUAUGGAUGAGCAGAGAUGUAAAUGGAAAGGGAAGUAAAUCAGAAUGUGUUUACAGUGGCAGUGGGAAAAGGCCAUUGUUAUGCGCUUCUUGUGCUUUCAUUGGACUAGCAUUGGCCAUAUUGGUGGAGCACACUUUCAUGUUGAUAGCAGUUAGUAAUUCAUCUCCUGCAUUACUCACAUUGGAUCCUGAUUCUGCUUCUGCCAAAUCAUUAACGUGCCUAGCUGGGUUCUUCUUCGUUACAACUUGGAUUUGUUUUGCAGUUGGAGAGAUUCUGUUGUUGGCAGGAGUGAGUGUAGAGUCAGGGCAUCUGAAGAAUUGGUGGAAAACUAAACCCAGUUACCUUAGUGUUAGAGAAGGUUUGUUCUGUGGGGCAGGGGUGUU